UACGUAGGGCGCAAGCGUUGUCCGGAAUUAUUGGGCGUAAAGAGCUCGUAGGCGGUUUGUCGCGUCUGACUGUGAAAGUCCGAGGCUCAACCUCGGAUCUGCAGUGGGUACGGGCAAGACUAGAGUGUGGUAGGGGAGACUGGAAUUCCUGGUGUAGGCGGUGGAAUGCGCAGAUAUCAGGAGGAACACCAAUGGCGAAGGCAGGUCUCUGGGCUGACACUGACGCUCAUGCACGAAAGCGUGGGUAGCAAACAGG
rnacentral:rRNA from 1 species